ACAGGAUCCAUUUAACUAUCAAGCUGAAGAACACAAAAAACAAAACACACACAUAUCAACAUUAUAAUCUUUCAUGACUUUUAAAAAGAGUGUUGGUUCCUUGAUAGUGUUAUCAAUUGGAUUAGUAAAAAUAUUCAGACUUUUCUGUGUAUUAUAUGGAAAAAAAGAAAGGAACACAAAGUUUUCUGAUAGAACAGACAUAGAAAAGCAUUGACUUUUUGACUUAUUAGUCUGAGAAGACAGACAUGACUAGAUUCAGUCAAUUCUUGUGGAAAACUGAAGAAAAGGAAGUAAAUUUAAACAGAGACUUGACUUGAGCACAUUCUCUCAACAGAUGUUUCUGCUUUCUAGUUUCCUUUUUCCCUUAUAUUUGAUUAAACUAAUUUAUCCAGUCUAAUAAAGUGUGGA